rnacentral:rRNA from 1 species
AGAGUUGUAUCCUGGCUCAGGAUGAACGCUGGCGGUAUGCUUUACACAUGCAAGUCGUACGAGAGUUUUUAACUCAAGUGGCGGACGGGUGAGUAACACGUAAGAAUUUGCCUUUAGGAGGGGGACAACAACUGGAAACGGUUGCUAAUACCCCAUAUGCUUUCGAGUGAAAUGGUUUUUCCGCCUAAAGAGAAGCUUGCGGCUGAUUAGCUUGUUGGUAAGGUAAUGGCUUACCAAGGCGACGAUCAGUAUCUGGUUUGAGAGGACGAUCAGACACACUGGAACUGAGACACGGUCCAGACUCCUACGGGAGGCAGCAGUGGGGGAUUUUCCGCAAUGGGCGAAAGCCUGACGGAGCAAUACCGCGUGAGGGAUGAAUGCCUAUGGGUUGUAAACCUCUUUUUUCAGGGAGGAACAAAAUGACGUGUACCUGAAGAAUAAGCAUCGGCUAACUCCGUGCCAGCAGCCGCGGUAAGACGGAGGAUGCAAGUGUUAUCCGGAAUCACUGGGCGUAAAGCGUCUGUAGGUG